AACGAACGCUGGCGGCAUGCCUAACACAUGCAAGUCGAACGAGACCUCCGGGCCUAGUGGCGCACGGGUGCGUAACGCGUGGGAACUUGCCCUUAGGUUCGGUACAAUUCCCUGAAAGGGGUGCUAAUACCGCUUAAUGUCUUCGGACCAAGGAUUUACUGCCUCUGGAUGGGCCUGCGUUGGAUUAGCUAGUUGGUAGGGUAAAAGCCUACCAAGGCGUCGAUCCGGAGCUGGUCUGUGAGGAUGCUCAGCCACACUGGGACUGGGACCCGGCCCAGACGCCUGCGAGAGGCGGCAGUGGGGAAUAUUGGACAGUGGGCGGAAGCCUGAUCCAGCGAGGCCGCGUGGGUGAUGAAGGCCUUAGGGUUGUAAAGCUCUUUUACCCGGGAUGAUAAUGACGGUACCGGGAGAAUAGGCUCCGGCUAACUCCGU
rnacentral:rRNA from 1 species